UUUAGGGGCUUUAUACUUUUGCUCCCCUACAUUUUUAAAUCCUGUAUUGUAUUUAUUGCUGUUUAUCUGAACCCUAUAAAGUUACUGAGAUGAAGAAAAAUAAUUAUUUGUCAAUGAAAAUAUUGCACAACUUUGUUACAGCCAGCAUAACUGGAACACCAACCACUGAUGUUUGGAGAUUAAUUCAUUAAGGACAGAAUGCAUGCAUGAACUGAGGUACUACAAUGUCAUACAGAAUGAGCACUUUUACUUUUGAUACUUAAGUAUAUUCACUAUGACUAUGGAAUACUUUUAUACCUUUUUGAGGACUUGUGAUAAAUAUCUAUUUCUACUUUUCUUGAGUAAGGGACCAUUGUACUAUAUUUAAAGUAACUAUCAGCUGGAUGGUGCACUGGAAAAGUUGUUGCACUUAAAACAGAAGGUACAGUAUUCAAAAUGUGCUCAGGGCAUCCUUUUUUAUCUCCUGAGGACAAAAAAGAGCCAUUAAUAAGACUGAGCAAAGCAUCUCCCUCAAGUCUCUUCCUAUGAUGUCUUAGCCAGAACCUGGGCAAAUGUGGAGGGAACACAGACAGUUCUCCUGACAGUGUUGAGGUCCCCCUUAAACCUCCGCUGCCCCAUAUACAAAUACACACAAAGUGGCCUGUACAGUUCCACAGAUUCAAGACUCUCUAAAACCACCAUUUUUCUUUAUACGUCUAAAAUUGUAUAGAUUUUGUUACUAGCUGCAUUUCAGAUUUAGAUGAAUAAAAUACAGUCAACAAUUAAAUUACGGUGUUUGCUUAUGGUACUUUUAUACUUUUAGUUAAGUAAAAUUUUAAAUAUAUGAAAUUUUACUUCUAACAGUAUGUAAAGCCUGGUGUUUCUACUGUCACUGAUAAAUGUGUUUCUUGCUUUAUUUUAAACACUGUAGCCUGUAACACAGGCCUCUGUGUCAGAGCUGAGAAGUGGAGAAUAUUGUGGUGACUUUGCAGCCUCUGGCUCAGGCUUAAUUAAUGGGCCAUCAGCGGAGGGACACGCCCCCCUGCACCUGGAACUUUCCCCCCUCCCCCAACCUUUCAGCAGCGCAGCAGAGAGGAGCAGAAGAAAACAGAGCGUGGCCGGAGUUUGGAGAGAUUUGUUAGCAGGAGUUUGGAGAGAUUUGUUUGAAAAAUUUAAAGACGAAGACUUCAUCUUAACCGACGCAAGAGGCAAUUUCAGAGCAGGUCCAGGAAGAGAUCGCUAUGAGUCAAACACAGAUGGAGGUUCUGACCCCUGCGCUGAGUUAGAGAUAAGGAGAACUCACUGAUGAUGAGACCCCCAGGCUUCCACAGAAGAACAAAGUCAAACAUGAGAGAGCAAGAGAGCAUGGAGUGAGGUAGAGAGAACUGCGAUGUAGAGUGCCUG